rnacentral:rRNA from 1 species
ACGGGAGGCAGCAGUGGGGAAUAUUGCACAAUGGGGGAAACCCUGAUGCAGCGACGCCGCGUGAGUGAAGAAGUUAUUCGUAAUGUAAAGCUCUAUCAGCAGGGAAGAAAAUGACAGUACCUGACUAAGAAGCCCCGGCUAACUACGUGCCAGCAGCCGCGGUAAUACGUAGGGGGCAAGCGUUAUCCGGAUUUACUGGGUGUAAAGGGAGCGUAGGCGGCUAUGCAAGUCAGGUGUGAAAACCCGGGGCUCAACUCCGGGACUGCACUUGAAACUGCGAAGCUCGAGUACGGGAGAGGCAAGUGGAAUUCCUAGUGUAGCGGUGAAAUGCGUAGAUAUUAGGAAGAACACCAGUGGCGAAGGCGACUUGCUGGACCGCAACUGACGCUGAGGCUCGAAAGCGUGGGGAGCAAACAGGAUUAGAUACCCUGGUA